GGGGGCAGAUGGGCGCUGGUGUGCCCCGCGGUCUUCAAAACCGUUGUGGAGGCCGACGGUCUUCCGGAUGGGUUCGAUUCCCAUAUGUCUCCGCCA
rnacentral:tRNA from 1 species